UACGUAGGGACCAAGCGUUGUUCGGAUUUACUGGGCGUAAAGGGCGCGUAGGCGGCGUGGUAAGUCAGUUGUGAAAUCUCCGAGCUUAACUCGGAACGGCCAACUGAUACUGCUGUGCUAGAGUGCAGAAGGGGCAAUCAGAAUUCUUGGUGUAGCGGUGAAAUGCGUAGAUAUCAAGAGGAAUACCAGAGGUGAAGACGGGUUGCUAGGCUGACACUGACGCUGAGGCGCGAAAGCCAGGGGAGCAAACGGG
rnacentral:rRNA from 1 species